GACAGAGGGUGCAAACGUUGUUCGGAAUUACUGGGCGUAAAGCGCGUGUAGGCGGCUAUGCAAGUCGGAUGUGAAAGCCCUCGGCUCAACCGGGGAAGUGCACCCGAAACUGCAAAGCUAGAGUCUCGGAGAGGAUCGUGGAAUUCUCGGUGUAGAGGUGAAAUUCGUAGAUAUCGAGAGGAACACCAGUGGCGAAGGCGGCCUUCUGGACAGUGACUGACGCUGAGACGCGAAAGCGUGGGGAGCAAACAGG
rnacentral:rRNA from 1 species